CCUCUCGUAGCAGCCUACUACCACUGUGCUUGCUAGUACAACUGUAGAUUGUACACAAUGUGCAGAGACGAAACGGGUAAAGUAGGGUGCACGCAGCACAUUUCGGGGAAGUACUAUGUACCACUUCUGCACUACUACCGUUAUUGUACGCCUCCAUAGGCUCUGCUCCAUGUGCCAGUUCUGCACUUUGGAGUACUACUUUGAAGAGUCGACGAGGAGAGCAACAUGAUCAUUCUUCACGUGCAAUUGCGUCAGGUGAGCUAUAUUGGCUUGGCUUGAAAGAUUCAUGGGACAUAUGUUUUUACUUUUUCGGAUCUAUCAUUCAUCUUCAAUGUUCUUGAGGCCUGCGGAUAUGCUCAUGGCUGUCCGAUAUAAUACGUCGGUUGUCGGUGUGCAUUCUCCUAGCAGCGAAGGCGCUCGAGUGCCCGACCGGGUGUGUUGUGGGGUUUCGUCUUCCGGUGCCUUGUAUGUCUUGUGGUGCUCUAGGUCUAGUCUAGUUAGACGUUGCUAUGGUUUUUGUCCGGUUUUCCUCAAAACUGAACAGUCCGUUCUUGUAAUACCUUCUUCUGAUUAAUGAAUUUGGCAGCUCUCCUGUCGAUAUAAAAAAACUUUGAAGAGCGCCGCAAAUUCGACAAAUUUGAUCCCAGGACGAAUUUUUUCACAAACUGGACUGUAUUUUAAAAAAUUACUCAGCUGACUGUUUUGUGUGGCACCCUACAGUAAGGCGCCACACUAUACUGUGUGACGCCUUAGACAAGGGCGCUACAUCCCCGGCCACGCUGGCGUCCGACCCCACCCCGAGCAGUGUGGCGCCUUAGACGUAGGCGUUGCACUUCCGAUGUGUGGCGUCGAACGCUUAGGCGUCGAACGCUCACAUAUCCACCCGCUGGGCGGCCCUCCCCCACCCCCCUCCUCAUUCAUCUCCAUCGACCAAAACAGAGAGAGGUCUCCCUCGAGUUCCUCUCUCCCCUUCCUGAAACCCCUCUUCAAAUCAAGCAUAUCUGAAGGUUUGGUCCGGGCAUUUCGACCCCAAUCCCUCCCUUAAGGUAAUCUCCCCGGUCCUCUCAUCCAAUAAAAAUCUCAUUUGCUCACUUUUUUGCAAAUGCAAGCAAACCCUAGUACUUCAUGAAAUUUGGGAUGUGUAUGAUUUUGUUGCACUUGUUUGUAUGUUAGGGUAAGGGGUAUGAUUGGGUUAUGAUUAGGGUUGUUUGGAUUUAGGAUUGUUGGGGAACGUAGUAAUUUCAAAAAUUUCCUACGCCAAACAAAGAUCUAUCUAUGGAGAAACCAGCAACGAGUGAUGGGGUAGAGCAUCUUCAUACCUUUGAAGAUCGCUAAGCGGAAGCGUUACUAGAACGCGGUUGAUGGAGUCGUACUCGCAGCAAUUCAGAUCGCGGUCGGUUCCGAUCUAUGUGCCGAAUCACGGCACCUCCGCGUUCAACACACGUACAGCCCAGUGACGUCUCCCGCACCUUGAUCCAGCAAGAAGGAGGGAGGGGUCCGGCAGCACGACGGCGUGGUAGCGGUGGAGCUACGAGGUAUUCCGACAGGGCUUCGCCAAGCAUCGCGGAAGAGGAGGAGCAGGGCUACGCCGAGAGUCUCAAAUCAGCCAAAAGCUCCACUAUAUAUAGGAGGAGAGGGAGGGGGCGCCCCCUUUAGGCCUUGUUCGGUUCCUUUAUAUUUGAAGGGGUUUGGAGGGGAUUGAGAGGGAUUAAAUCCCCUACAAGUCAAAUUCCACCUAAAUCCCCUCCAAUCCUCUUCAAUCCCCUCCUGGUAGGGAUUAACCGAACAAGGCCUUAGGGUUCCCACCCCAAAAGGGUGCGGCAGCCCCAUCUAGGGCUGGUGGUAGCGGCCAGGGCAAGGGAGAGGGGGGUGGCGCACCGCAGAUGGGCCUUAAGCCCAUCUGCGCUAGGGUUUCCCCCUUCCCUCUCUUGCUGCGCCUUGGGCCUAGGUGGGAGGCGCACCAGACCACUCUGGGCUGGUUCCCUUCCACCUUUUUGGCCCAUGCUAGCCUUUGGGGCUGGUGGCCCCUCCCGAUGGACCCCCGAAACCCUUCCGGUGGUCCCGGUACGUUACCGGUGACGCCCGAAACAUUUCCGUGUCCAAAACCCCUCAUCCUAUAUAUCAAUCUUUACCUCCGGACCAUUCCGGAGCUCCUCGUGACGUCCGGGAUUUCAUCCGGGACUCAAAACAACCUUCGGUAACCACAUACACUAUUUUGCUAUAACUCUAGCGUCAUCGAACCUUAAGUGUGUAGACCCUACGGGUUCGGGAGACGUGCAGACAUGACCGAGACAUCUCUCCGGCCAAUAACCAACAGCGGGGUCUGGAUAUCCAUGUUGGUUCCCACAUGUCCCACGACAAUCUCAUCGGAUGAACCACGAUGUCAAGGAUUCAAUCAAUCUCGUAUGCAAUUCCCUUUGUCCAUCGGUAUGAUACUUGCAUGAGAUUCGAUCGUUGGUAUCCCUAUACCUUGUUCAAUCUCGUUACCGACAAGUCUCUUUACUCGUUCCGUAACACAUCAUCCCGUAGCUAACCCCUUAGUCACAUUGAGCUCAAUAUGAUGAUGGAUUACCGAGUGGGACCAGAGAUACCUCUUCGUCACACGGAGUGACAAAUCCCGGUCUCGAUUCGUACAACUCAACAGACACUUUCGGAGAUACCCGUAGUGCACCUUUAUAAUCACCCAGUCACGUUGUGACGUUUGGUACCCCCAAAGCACUCCUACGGUAUCCAGGAGUUGCACAAUCUCACGGUCUAAGGAAAUGAUACUUGACAUUAGAAAAGCUUUAGUAGACGAACAACACGAUCUAGUGCUAUGCUUAGGAUUGGGUCUUGUCCAUCACAUCAUUCCCCAAUGACGUGAUCCCGUUAUCAAUGACAUCCAAUGUCCAUGAUCAAGAAACCAUGAUCAUCUAUUGAUCAACGAGCUAGCCAACUAGAGGCUCACUAGGGACACAUUAUGAUCUACAUAUUCACACUUGUAUGCCGAGUUGUUGGAACAAAAAGGAUUUGAAUUGGAUGGAACCAAGUGAUGUUGUUGAGUUUUAUGGUAGGCAUAAUGUGAGAUUUGGAAUGCACCUUCGUUGGAAGACCAUGCGUGUUAACUUGGAGCAACAUUGUCUUGCAUACAAGGAGACGGUGUCCGAGUCACUAGACAAGGCGCUAGAGUUAUUUGCCAUAAAAAACUUGAUCCUAACUUGCACUUGUAUUUGAACCGGGUUGCCUCUCCGGUUGUUGAUGCUAGUCCCCCACGGACCAACGAAGAGGCCAACAUUAAACCUCUUUUGACCCAACAAUCGAGGACAACAUUGACCCAGAAUUCGAAGAUCCAACAUGAACUAUUGGUAGAGGAGAAUAAUGAGCAUGAUGAUGAUGAGAAUGAUGAUCUUGUUCUCCAUGACAAUAGCCUUGGUGAUUUGGAUAAAUAUUAUUUGCAAGAGACAAUGGACCAUUCCAUGACAAUGAGGAUCUUAGUCUUGCGGAUGAAGCCGUGGUUGAUGGAGGCGAAGGCAUAUUCUUUGGAGUUAGGCUAACUUCUCACCGGGACAAACAUGGGUAGAAUAUUAUUUUGCCCGAGUCAAAGUUCGAAAGAUUCCUGGAACUAAAGAUGUGGUUAGAUGACUAUUCGGUUAUGCAUUAUCGUCCACACAAAGUUGUUCAUUUGAACAUGAAGGUGGGUUACAAGGUUGCAUGUGAGGAUUUAGUAUGUCCAUGGAUUGUCCAUGCAAGACUAUGGAAUGGAGGGCCCGAAUGGAACAUUGUGAGUUGUAUGCCUCACCUGUGCCGAGACAAGAUGUUUGAUGGCGAGCUUUUGUCCCAAAACCAUAGACAACUCACCUCCGAGUUCAUCGCUUACAGGCUUUCGAACUCCAUCUCCUCGCUUCCUACAAUGAGCAUAAAAAGCAUACAAGACCUUGUGAAAGGCCUCUUUCACUACCAGGUGAAAUACGGGAAGGCAUGGAAAGCAAAGCAAUCCACAUUCAAGAUGUUGUAUGGUGAUUGGGAGGAAGCAUACAACCGACUACCUAGGUUGUUGGGAGCUAUUGCUGCUACUAACCCGUGCAUGGUUCAUGUGGUUGAACUGUACGGGGAGAAACAAGGAUUCACAAUGGAAAGAUGAUCCGUGUCUUUGGCCGUGCAUUUUGGGCAUUUGAGCAAUGUGUGAGAGCUUUUCAGCACUGUGAGCCAAUCAUCUCCAUCGAUGGCACGUUCUAUAUCGGACAGUUCAAGGGCACUCUAUUCGUUGCAACAGGAAAUGAUGCCAAUAACCGGUUGUUGCCUUUGGCUUUUGCUUUGGUUGAGGUGGAGAACAAUGUUAACUCGGAAUGGUGAUACGUCCCAAACAUAUAUAUAAUUUCUGCUUGCUCCAUGAUCUUUUGGGUGACAUUGUUAUAUGUUUUCCUACACUUUUAUACUCCCUCUGUCCCAAAAUAAGUGUCUUAACUUUGUACUAGCUCUAGUAUAAAAUUGUACUAAGCUUGAGACAGUUAUUUUGGGACGGAGGGAGUAUAUUUUUACACAUAUUUGGACUAACCUACUAACUCAGUGCGCCCAGUGCCAGUUUCUGUCUACUGAUGUCUUUUUGCAAAGCUUUUACCCAAAUUUCCAGAGCCCCAAAAAUCCCGAGAAAAAUAUAUAAAAUCAGCGUAACGGAAGCUCCAGAUCACCGAAGAUGGGCCAAAGGGGAGCCAGGGGCUGCCGAGGCGGCCACCCUGCGCGGCCUGGCCCCUGGCCACGCUCAAAGGCCGCCUGGGUGGGCCCCACCUCCUCUGACGCCCUCCUUUGGCCUAUUUUUACCCCUCUGAUCGAAAUCCUUCCAUCAUAUCAAGAAUCGCGAAUUUCUCCAUCGUUCCGCCACCGCAGCGCUUCCGAGAUUGGGAGUGUCACGAGACCUCUUCCCGACACCCUACCGGAGGGAGGAUUGACCUCCGGGGGCUUCUCCACCGCCAUGGACGCUUCCCGGACGUGCCGUGAGUAGUCCUCCUUGGAUCAUGAAUCCAUGACCAGUAGUUAUGUGAUGUCUUCUCUCCAAUCUUGUGCUUCAAUGAUUAGCCCUUGUGAGCUGCCCUACAUGAUCAAGGCAUCUAUGUAAUUUUCCUAGUGUUGCUAUGCUCGGUUUGUUGGGAUCCGAUGGAUUAUGAGAUUAUGUUCAGAUUAUUAUGAGUUAUAUAUUUGAUCAUCCUUUUAUAUUAUGUUCUUUAGUGGUUCAUGCAUGUUCUUCGUUGCUCUUUAUUGCUUUGGCCGAGUAGUAGAUUGUAACUCCAAGAGGGAGCGUUAUGCAUGAUAGUGGGUUCAUGCCCCCUGAUGUCUAGCUUGAGUGACAGAAACAUGAUACUAGGGGAUGUGUUGUUGCCACCAGGGAGAAAACAACGGUGCUUGUGACCACAGUUGCAAGGAUUGUUUACCUUACACAUAAUUCAUUAAUGCAAUUGUUCGUUGCUUUGAGUUUACACUUUGGGUGGGGCUCGCAACUUAAUACCAGCGAUAUGUUCUUGAUAUAUAUAUCUCAAGGUGGAUGAUUAAUAAGUAGAUGUUGAUGAAUAAACGGUCUACUUGUCUUGGCGUACUUCCCAUUAGUAUUGAGCCUCUAACUUUCAAGUAGCAUAAUUAGCAUUGCGGUGCGUUCAUAAUUCUGUCAAUUGCCCAGCUGUAAUUGUUUUUACCCAAGCAUAGUUGUGUAUCGUCUUUUGGGAGAGAGACAUCACUAGUGAACAUCAUGUGACUCAGGUCCAUAUCACCACCAUUGCUUACACCUCCAUCAUUUACUGCUUUAUUUACUUUUCCGUUGCAAUCACUAUCACUAUUCCCGCUUGUGUUUUGAUCCUUUGCAAACUACAAGGCCGAAGAGAUUGACAACCUAUGUGUACUCGUUGGGAGCAAUGUUAUUUGCUGUGUGUGCAGGUCCACGUCUUCUGCUAGCGCGAGAGCAACGGACACCUACUUGUUGAUCCUCGGAGUCCUCCUGGUUUGAUAAACCUGACAGUCUUCGUGUAAGGGAGACUUGCUGCUAACUACAUCUCCACCUUCCACUUGGGGUAACCAACAAGGGACGAGACGUAUAUUCAUCAACUCGUCAUCAAAUGGUUCUUGCUUCUUUUGAGAACCAAGGUAUUACCGUCUGAAAGGGAAAUUUGUGUCAUAUCGGAUCCCCAUCCAGGAAUACUUAACGCGGUUGAAAUUGUUAUUCUCGGGCAUGCUCAUUUGCACCAUCGAUGGUGCAUGAGGCAUUUCUGUUCAAACUUCUACCGGGCAUGUGGUAGCAAGGAGUUGACGGAUGAUCUUCAAGAUUGUUGUCAAGCUUUUUCCGACAAACGAUUUGCAAGAUUGUACAACGCUUUAGUUGCAAACAAAAUCUUGAUGCAAGGGGUCUUAAGUUUCUCAACACGCACAUUCAACUUAGGCAAAAGUGGGCACGAGCUUAUGAUGAAGAUGGCCAAAGAUACGGUCAAAUGAAAAGAAACAUGGCAGAAUGCUUCAUCCGGGUGCUCAAGGGUGUUCGUGCGCUUCCGGUGACAACAAUAGUUCAAUACACAUUCAACAAGUUGAGAGCAUACUUUCUAAAGUACUCAACUAAGAUGGAUGAUCACAUUGCGGGAGAGAACAAGAAAAAGUACAAGUACAAGUUCCCAUAAAAGGUUAACAAAUAGAUGGAAUUUCAAUCAUGGAAGGCCGACUCCCAAACAGCUACGUUGUACAAUAACGAGGGUUGGACGUACCAAGUGCAUAUGCCUGGAGGAACGACAAACGAUGGCUAGCAACACGGAAACAUGGCGUUCAAGGUAUCUUUAUCGUUGUGGGAUUGCUCAUGCGGGGGGCAUAUGUUGAUUAAUCUCGCAUGCUCGGACUUGUACACGACAACUCGCACUAGGAACAUGGACGUCAACCAUCCGCUAACCGUGAGAGAGUCCGAGUUCUCUAUCGUGACCAUGAAGCAUACAUGGGCUCCUAGAUUUGAAGCAUACUUUGACCAAUCACAUUGACCGAAGUAUCAUGGCUUCAACUAUGGCCCGACCCGGAGUGGAAGGUGGUCAAAUGGGGAAGACGAAAGACAAAGCGUUUUAGAGGAGACAUCGAUGGAUGGGGGCAUGGUGGUGGCCGAGAAAUGGGGAACAACCAAUUCCAAGAGCCUAGCGAGAGAUCACAUUGUGGAGAGUGUGGUGGAAGAGGGCACAACACAAUAAGGUGUACCAAUCCUAAGAAGAAGUCCAAAAAAUAUAAUUCAAGGUCACGCCAACCAAGUAGUAGUCAACAAGGUCCUAGCCAAGCAAAUAGUAGCCAACAUGUUCCUAGCCAACAAGUUCCUAGCCAGCAUGUUCCUAGCCGACCUGGACUUACUAGAGGACGUGCUCAUGGAUAGUGCAUUGUAGUGCUAGAGGUAGGGGCGACAGAGCUGUUGGACUUAGUAGGAUUGGUAUGCAUGGAUACCUACGAGGACCAUUUCCGUAUGUCACGCUAUUGACUUAUCUUUUUCAUGUUGUUUCUAAUGCUCCCUUCUAUGUUAACCAUGUACUAUCGUUGCUUUACUAACUAUUAUGUUGCUAUUUUUUCGUAGGUAUGGCGGUGUCUCAACCCAACAAGGCAACAACGGAGUGGGUGGAGGACAAGGAUGUAGUCGGUGAGGAGCAGUGGUUGUGGGAGAGGGCUGCAAAGAAGUUGAGAGAGGAGGAUGCAACCAAAGCGGAGAGGAAGAAGGAAGUGUUGGGGAACGUCGCAUGGGAAACAAAAAAUUUCCUACGCGCACGAAGACCUAUCAUGGUGAUGUCCAUCUACGAGAGGGGAUAUUCGAUCUACGUACCCUUGUAGAUCGCACAGCAGAAGCGUUAAGAAACGCGGUUGAUGUAGUGGAACGUCCUCACGUCCCUCGAUCCGCCCCGCGAACCGUCCCGCGAUCAGUCCCACGAUCUAGUGCCGAACAGACGGCACCUCCGCGUUCAGCACACGUACAGCUCGACGAUGAUCUCGGCCUUCUUGAUCCAGCAAGAGGGACGGAGAGGUAGAUGAGUUCUCCGGCAGCGCGAUGGUGCUCCGGAGGUUGGUGGUGAUCUUAUCUCAGCAGGGCUCCGCCCGAGCUCCACAGAAACGCGAUUUAGAGGUAAAACCGUGGAGAUAUGUGGUCGGGCUGCCGUGGCAAAAGUUGUCUCAAAU
rnacentral:lncRNA from 1 species